AGAGUGGAUUUGAGCCAAGGAUGACUUGCCGACAUAUGCUUUAAUGUAAUAUAUAUUCAAAUUUCGGGCUUUGCCGGUAGUUAGCCUUGGCUCAGAUUUGCUCUCU
rfam:Lupinus angustifolius cultivar Tanjil contig_9714, whole genome shotgun sequence.